AGAGAUUGUCAGAGGCAACUUCCUCCACACCAUCAUCAUGCAAAGAGUUUAUACAGAUCAUAUGGAUGCAUUCACAACAGUGGCCGCUAGUUAAGCUUUACACAUUACAAAGGUUGCCGGCCGGAGAGCCGACGUUGUUGUACAGUUCCUGCACGCACGGACGUACGCGCGCAGAGCCAGCGUGGCAAGGCAAUCAACCAAUCUAUCGAUUCAGAAACAUGAAUGAAAAGUUGAAAACCAUGCGCUCCAGCUCCUCGAUCUCCUCUCAGCCCGGUCGGCUCCGCUCAAGGGCCGUAGAUAUUUCUGGGGAUGACGAUGUCGCCGAUGUUGUUGUGCCACGGGUCCGCGAGGUGCGUGGCCAGGUUCUCCAGCGGGCCGGUGCCGGGGUACGCCGACUGCUGCACGCAGAACCCCACGAACGCCAGCAUCGCCAGCCGCCCUGCAAUGCAUCCCCCCACGUACGAACGCGUCAGUUCGUUCUCCCAUGAUUUUUCAUUCAACAACGGGGUGUAUGGAUAUUCGCAAAAAAAAGAAAACGGGGUGUAUGGUGGGAGUGGGACGUACCGUUCUUGAUCUCCUUGAGCUUGAGCUCCUCGAACUUGGCGGGGUCCUUGGAGAAGCCGAGCGGGUCGAAGGCGCCGCCGGGGUACUUCUUCUUCUCCGGGUCCUUCUCCAUGGUGCGCUGCUGCUCCGCGAAGGCGAUGGCCAGGAACUCGAUCGCCAGGAUGGUCGGCAGGUUGCCCCACGGCACCGGGUUGCCCAGGUACGUCGCCUGCCCGUCGGGGAGCGCCGCCCACUCCUGCGCCUUCACCCAGUUGCCCAGUCCCAGCGCCUCCGGCACCAGCACCCCAGGCUGCACGUCGUCCAUGCCACAACCCAUGUUAUUACUACCAGCGAACAACUCAACGAUGGCUGCUGUGGUGCAGAGGAGGAGGAGGAGGACGUACCACGCAGAGCAUGGCCCAGCGGCAGUGGUAGAUCUCGGACUCCUUGAACCGCUCGAAGUUCUCCGGCACGGUGGCGAGGCCCAGGGGGUCGAACCCGAAGUCUCUGCACGGAGAAGAAAUUGCCAGUCAGAUUGAUGCCGAUUGCUUGGUCACUGCUUGAUCGGCUACUAGCUAGCUAGCUGCUUAGUCACCCUGGCGAG
rnacentral:lncRNA from 1 species